rnacentral:rRNA from 1 species
GAGUUUGAUCAUGGCUCAGAACGAACGCUGGCGGCGGGCCUCAUACAUGCAAGUCGAGCGCGAAAGUCCGCAAGGAUGAGUAAAGCGGCGCACGGGUGCCUAACGCGUGGGUAAUCUACCUUCUGGAUGGGAAUAACCUGUCGAAAGACGGGCUAAUACCCAGUAAGCUUGCGACUCCGUAAAGUUGUUGCAAGGAAAGCUGGCGCAAGCUGGCGCCGAUAGAUGAGCCUGCGUCCCAUUAGCUAGUUGGUAGGGUAACGGCCUACCAAGGCAACGAUGGGUAGCUGGUCUGAGAGGAUGAUCAGCCACACUGGAACUGAAACACGGUCCAGACUCCUACGGGAGGCAGCAGUAGGGAAUAUUGCGCAAUGGGGGAAACCCUGACGCAGCCACGCCGCGUGAGUGAGGAAGGCCUUAGGGUUGUAAAGCUCUUUUACCCGGGAUGAUAAUGACAGUACCGGGAGAAUAAGCCCCGGCUAACUCCGUGCCAGCAGCCGCGGUAAC